UUCGUCAGUGAUUAUUUCGAUACUGUGGUUGUGUGACUGAUUUUUUAACCUAAGAUUGUACUAUUGCUCACAGUGAGACUGCUAGAGUUUGACUAAUAUAUAAACAUGGGUCUCAAUGAGCCCUUGUAGUGGAUGUUGGUGAUAGUUGAUCCACUGUAGGAGUCAGGUGCGCAUCAAGAUGGGAUUUAUCAACCUUGAUAAAGAGAAGUAGUCCUGUGAGAUUUGAAAGGUUAAGUCUGAGAAUCUAUGGCUAUAGUAGUAUGAUUAAUGGAAAUUUUUUUUUAUAGAAAUCAUAAUUGGAUUUGAGCUAAUCGAAUCUAUCAUAUGACUGAUAUUG
rnacentral:lncRNA from 1 species